rnacentral:lncRNA from 1 species
AACCUCUGUAUAUACAACUUGCCAUGGAACAGCUCCUCCUGUGUUGUUUCUGCUUUUAUAUAUAGAUAUAUGCACUCGUUAAGCUAAAUCUCUUCAUUCUUUUCUCUUGCCAGAUGAGUAAAGAGAGACAGAAUGGUGAAAAAAAUAGCUUGAGAUGGUUGGUCCAGCACCUCGGACUUCUUAGGAGGAGCAGAAGAGGCUUGUUGUCAGAUCUCCAAGAUCAGAUCUGCUAUCAACAUAUAGAAGCCUGUGCUGCCCAGUGAUUGGGUAAGUCCAUCAGCUGAUUCAUGUGUGUUCUUUCUAUUUCUAGGAUAUUGUGCUC